GUGCCAGCCGCCGCGGUAAUACCGGCAGCCCAAGUGAUGGCCGAUCUUAUUGGGCCUAAAGCGUCCGUAGCUGGCCGCACAAGUCCAUCGGGAAAUCCACCCGCCCAACGGGUGGCCGUCCGGUGGAAACUGUGUGGCUUGGGACCGGAAGGCGCGACGGGUACGUCCGGGGUAGGAGUGAAAUCCCGUAAUCCUGGACGGACCGCCGAUGGCGAAAGCACGUCGCGAAAACGGAUCCGACAGUGAGGGACGAAAGCUAGGGUCUCGAACCGGAUUAGAAACCCCAGUAGUC
rnacentral:rRNA from 1 species